AGCGUCAGAUGUGUAUAAGAGACAGGUGAGUCAUCGAAUCUUUGAACGCACAUUGCGCCCUCUGGUAUUCCGGGGGGCAUGCCUGUUCGAGCGUCAUUACAACCCUCAAGCUCUGCUUGGUAUUAGGUCCUGCCCGCUGUGGCAGACCCCAAAAACAGUGGCUGUGCCCGCUGGGUUCCAAGCGUAGUAAUAUCUCUCGCUUUGGGACCCGCCGGGAACCUGCCAGAAGACACAUUUUUCAGGUUGACCUCGGAUCAGGUAGGGAUACCCGCUGAACUUAAGCAUAUCAAUAAGCGGAGG
rnacentral:misc_RNA from 1 species